GAAAAUGGUGACGCCGAGGGUGACUGAUUUCCAGGUUUACAUCGGUUGCCCCAGGGGAAGUGCCUGGCCCCCAUCUGGUCCUUGCUGCUCUAACUUUGCCCUGUUAAUUGAAGAAAUGCAGGAUCUGGAGCUCAGGACCCACUACCUCCCCGGCCCACUGCAAGCUUGAACAUUUGAUGGUGGACACCCCUCCCUGACUUUGUAUUAUGUGUCACUGGCGUGGGGGUUACCUUCCCACUAUGUCCCCCAGAAGACAUGAGGCCACAGACUGCAGUGCCCGUGGACAGAGGAGCUGUGGGGAUGGAAGUGUGAUUGCUUCAUUCAAAUGCACGCCCCGGUGCGUGUGCGUCUCUUCUGAUGCAGCGCCCCAUGGAUACCCCAUCAGCCUGAGUCUCUUAAAGGCCUUUAUACGCAUAUGUCUACACAUAGGGAUUUGGAUUAUCUCGGGAUCCCACAUCCUCGCUGUCCCCUGUCCCCCCGCAACAUCCCCCACCAAUACCUUUCUGAAGUUUUCUAGUCCCUCCUUUUUGUUUGUGCUCCUUAAAGCCCAGCCCCAUGCCUGACUUUGGUUCCCAGUGAGCAUUGUACAUUUGUGGAUAUUAAAUCUUUGGCAAAGUCAUUUA
rnacentral:lncRNA from 1 species